UACGUAGGGCGCAAGCGUUGUCCGGAAUUAUUGGGCGUAAAGAGCUCGUAGGCGGCCUGUUACGUCUGCUGUGAAAUCCCGGGGCUUAACCCCGGGCCUGCAGUGGAUACGGGCAGGCUAGAGUUCGGUAGGGGAGACUGGAAUUCCUGGUGUAGCGGUGAAAUGCGCAGGAUAUCAGGAGGAACACCGAUGGCGAAGGCAGGUCUCUGGGCCGAUACUGACGCUGAGGAGCGAAAGCGUGGGAGCGAACAGG
rnacentral:rRNA from 1 species